rnacentral:rRNA from 1 species
GACGAACGCUGGCGGCGUGCUUAACACAUGCAAGUCGUACGGUAAGGCCCUUUCGGGGGUACACGAGUGGCGAACGGGUGAGUAACACGUGAGUAACCUGCCCACAACUUUGGGAUAACGCUAGGAAACUGGUGCUAAUACUGGAUAUGUGCUCCUGCUGCAUGGUGGGGGUUGGAAAGCUCCGGCGGUUGUGGAUGGACUCGCGGCCUAUCAGCUUGUUGGUGGGGUAGUGGCCUACCAAGGCGGCGACGGGUAGCCGGCCUGAGAGGGUGACCGGCCACAUUGGGACUGAGAUACGGCCCAGACGCCUACGGGAGGCAGCAGUGGGGAAUAUUGCACAAUGGGCGCAAGCCUGAUGCAGCAACGCCGCGGGCGGGAGGACGGCCUUCGGGUUGUAAACCGCUUUCAGCAGGGACGAAGCCUUUUGUGACGGUACCUGCAGAAGAAGCACCGGCUAACUACAUG